CAUACCAAAUAUUCUGGGCAAAUUUCUACUCAGCCUGGGCCCUUCACCUCAACACUGUGUGGCCCCAGAAAACACCUUCUUCCUCACAGCUUAACGCUUUAGAGAAAGGGGAAACUGCUAUCUGUCUGCUAUCUCCCCUCUUCAUUUCAUCUGAAAAAAAUCUCAGAAAACCUUUGGAAAGGCCCCAAGCUAAGCUCCUGUAGACAUUCCAUCACAAAGCGCCAAACGGUUUCCGUAAAUAUUGUCACGGCAGAGACACCCUGAUUGAACCUCUUCGGUCACCAUCACGAUGCCACGUGCAUUCCAGAUCGUGACACCCUUUUGAAACCUCCCGUAAGAAACUGGGGACAUGGUUAAUUCUGCUGGCUAUGGAUCAAUUCAGCUGGCCGUUUGCCGCUAUCCCAAUGCCCGAAGAGAGGAGAUGUGAUUCUUUCAGCAGUGCAGAUAGAUCAAGAAAGAGAUCCCGUUCUUGACAUGGCCACCACCGUGGAGGAAAGCUAAGCGACCACUGGAGAAUCACCCACUGGGGCAAAGCCCUUCACCACGAGGAGGAGAAAGAGGAAGAUCUGGAGAAAGGCCUUUAAAGAGCCACCCACCACAGGAAGGCAUUUAAGGAGUAUUAGGAAAUGCUCAAGUAACUACACAGUGAUAGGUCAGUAGCAAUGUAGCCUAUAUUUACAUACACACACAUCCCUGAAGUAAUGCCAUCUGACGGGACCUAGGAGGCACGCUUUUUCCACUGCAGCAUUGCUCUCUGGACCGAUCUUCCCCCGACACACACAACGUAUGGUUGGCCCCAACUCUGUUGGCUUUUAGGAAGGCAUUAAAAACUUGGUUCUUUCCCCAGCAUUGGGACCAGGAUGAUAGGAAUUCCGAGGUGAGGUGAGGUAUUGUGGCAUAUUGUGGGUUCCUGAUUGCCUAUGAAGUGUAGUUGUUGUGAUUUUGAAUGUAAUUAUAUUUGUUUCUUUUUGA